rnacentral:misc_RNA from 1 species
CACGAAAUCGGGUGACUUCCCUUUGCUUUUCAUCGAUGCCAAGAGGCUUUGAAACACCAGACCUUUGCUUACAUCCUGUGGUUUCACCUCAACAAUGUGCUGGCCUCGUUUAACAACCACAGGCUCGUUAGCGAGCACACUCUCGAGAUGAUCAAGAAGCUCUUUAGCCUGCCAAAUGCCAAAGUCAGGAUCAGCUUCAAGAUGAUGCCACACUAGUGCACUUUCCUUCUGCUCUAUCGAAGAACCAUCUGUUGCCUCGGUGUAUUUCUUCAUAAUAGGCAAGACCACUUUUUUCCACUCAGUGUCUGCAGGUACCAGACGAGAUUCCCAAUCGGAAUCCUUCCUCCACCUAGUGAAGUAACCAUGCUCUGCUGAUAAGCCAAGUUCUGCACACGGAGAAAACCACUUGCUGAGCGUAUCCCUUCCCCUGCCGCUCACGAUAAACACGAUGUUCUUUGGAUCACUGCAUAAACCAUUCAGAACUGAGAUGACUUCUUGACUUGGGGCUUUGUCCACUUUAUCCUCUGGUAACAUAGUACCAUCAUAGUCGAGUAGGAUGAGCCUGCUGUUUGUCAAUUUAUAAGAAGAGACGAUAUGGGCUACCGAAAGCUUCUUGAAAUUCGGCCCAAGCGCAGCAAAACCUAAAGCCAAAGUUG